UGGGGAAUCUUGCACAAUGGGGGCAACCCUGAUGCAGCGACGCCGCGUGAGCGAUGAAGCCCUUCGGGGCGUAAAGCUCUUUCGACCGGAACGAUAAUGACGGUACCGGGAGAAGAAGCUGCGGCUAACUACGUGCCAGCAGCCGCGGUAAUACGUAGGCAGCAAGCGUUGUUCGGAGUUACUGGGCGUAAAGAGUGCGUAGGCGGUUUUCUAAGUUCGGUGUGAAAUCUCCCGGCUUAACUGGGAGGGUGCGCCGAAGACUGGGAAGCUGGAGUGUGGGAAAGGCAGGCGGAAUUCCUGGUGUAGCGGUGGAAUGCGUAGAUAUCAGGAGGAACACCGGCGGUGUAGACGGCUUGCUAAACCAUAACUGACGCUGAGGCACGAAAGCGUGGGUAGCAAACA
rnacentral:rRNA from 1 species